rnacentral:misc_RNA from 1 species
UCUUGUUGGAGUGCCCAAAACCUGCAAUAAAUGAAGCGCUUACUUAUAAAAGUAAUGUUAACCAAACCUGGAAGAGUUUCCAUUUUGCACCAUACUCGCAACUAACAAAUUACACUAACCAAAGGUGGAUUUAAUGUAAAACAAAUGUCACUUGAUAAUUAAAAAAAUUAAAAGAUGCAAAAUUACCUUGAUAAUCUCAACAAGCUGG